rnacentral:misc_RNA from 2 species
AACGCACCUUGCGCCUUUUGGUAUUCCGAAAGGCAUGCCUGUUUGAGUGUCAUGAAAUAUCAAUCCCUCAGGUUUUUCCUGAUCGAUUGGACUUGGGCGUCUGCCGACCGGCUCGCCUUAAAUGCGUUAGUGGUUCAAGUCACUCGUGUCUGACGUAAUAAGUUUCGUCUCGCAUGGUGGCCUACCCGCUCACAACCCCCAUCUUUACUUCUGACCUCAAAUCAGGUAGGGCUACCCGCUGAACUUAA